ensembl:snoRNA SNORD79 Small nucleolar RNA SNORD79
UACGGUUAGUGAUGAUUUUUUAAAUAAAGCAGAUGGGAAUCUCUCUGAAAAAGACUGAAGAUUUUUAAAAAGUGAAACAGUG